rnacentral:rRNA from 1 species
UGUGAUUCUGCAGUAGUCAUAUGCUGUCUCAAAGAUUAAGCAUGCAUGUCUAAGUAUAAGCAAUAUACAGCGAAACUGCGAAUGCUCAUAUAUAAUUAUCGUUAUUUGAUAGUACCUACUACUUGGAUAACCGUGGUAAUUCUAGAGCAAACAUGCAAAAAUCCGACUUCGAAGGAUUAUUAUAGAUUAAAAACCAAUGCCCUCCGGGCUCACUGUGAUCAUGAUAACCCUCGAAUCGCAUGCCUUGCGCCGGCGAUGGUUCAUUCAAAUUCUUCCCUAUCAACUUCGAUGUUGGUAUUGCCAAACAUGGUGCAACGGUAACGGAGGUUAGGCUCGACCCGAGAAGACCUGAGAAACGGCUACUACAUCCAAGGAAGGCAGCAGCGCGCAAAUACCCAAUCCGACACGGGAGUAUGACAAUAAUACUGAUACAGGCUCUUUGGUCUGUAAUGAAUGAGUACAAUUAAAUCCUUAACGAGAACAAUUGAGGCAAGUCUGUGCCAGCAGCCGCGUAAUCCAGCUCCAAUACGUAUAUUAAGUUGUUGGUUAAAAAGCUCGUAGUUGAACCUUGGCCUGCUGCCGUCGCCUCACGCGUACUGUCCGCCGGCUUUCCUCUGUGAACCCAUGCCUCACUGGCGUGCGGAACAGACUUUACUGUGAAAAAUAGAGUGCCAGCAGCAUGCCGAAUACAUAGCAGAAAAAGAAAGACGUGUCUAUUUGGUUCUAGACGCCGUAAUGAUAAUAGGACAUCGGCACAGAUCAAUGUCAAGUGAAAUCUGAUUAUGAGACAACUACUGCGAAAGCAUUGCCAAGAUUUUCAUUAAUCAGAACGAAAGUUAGGGAUCGAAGACGAUCAGAUACCGUCGAGUCUAACCAUAAACUAUGCCGACUAGGAUCGACGUGUAUUUUGACCCGUCGCACCUUACGAGAAAUCAAAGUGCUGGCUCCAGGGAGUAUGUCGCAAGGCUGAAACUAAAGAAAUUGACGGAAGGCACCACCAGGGUGAGCUGCGCUUAAUGACUCAACACGGGAAACUCACCAGUCCAACACAAGAGGAUGACAGAUUGAGAGCUCUUCUGAUUUGGGUGGUGCAUGCCGUCUUAUUGUGGAUGAUUGUCUGCUAAUGCGAUAACGAACGAACCUAACCUGCUAAAUAGCCCUAUGCUCUGCAUACGCUGCUCUUAGAGGACACGCUCAACCGAUGAAUUGAGCAAUAACAGUCUGAUGCCCUAGAUUCUGGCCGCACGCGCGCUACACUGACGGAGCCAGCGAGUACUUCCUUGUCCGAAAGUCCGGUAAUCUGUAAACCCGUCGUGCUGGAUAGAGCAUUGCAAUAUUGCUCUCAACGAGGAAUCCUAUAAGCGCAAGUCAUCACUUGCGUGAUUACGUCCCUGCCCUUGUACACACCGCCCUCGCUACUACCGAUGAAUGCUCAGUGAGCGUCCGGACUGGCCCAGAGUGGGCAACUACCGCUCAGGCCGAAAGCUCUCCAAACUCGUCAUUUAGAGGAAGUAAAAGUCGUAACAAGUCUCCGUGUGAACCAGCGGAGG